rnacentral:lncRNA from 1 species
GAAACGCUCCGGAGUUGUUGAUGAAUGAGAAGAGGACUGGAAAGAUGGCGCUGGAAUCUGUGGAGCAGGAAGCCUGGCAAUUCCAAGAUACGCGAUGAUCUUCAAACAUUCCCGGGAGCCAGUCCUGAGGCUCUGGCUUCAGGGCCUAGUUUCCAUUUAUGCCGCGUUUUUGAGAGUCUAAUACUGUGUCUGGCACAUGGUCCACGCAGGAUGGUCGCUUCCCCCUUGCUGAGAGUUUUGCCUUCAGCCUAUCUGGGCCGCUGGAAAAGAGGAGAAGAAUAAACAAGAGACAAGCAACUACUCCCCUACCGGCGUUCCGUCCUUGUCCUCACUGCCAAAUCCACUCCAAAGCCGAGGAUGGUGAGACUGUGAAGUUGCAAAGAAACACAGAGCCCACCCCCUUAAAGAAUUACGAUAUAUUUAAAGUUUGCCUCUUUCAGGUUUCUCUCCUUGGCUCCUGCCCCUUUCCCCUCCCGGCUCCUUGUCCUUGACUGAACCUCAUGGGACAGAGAACCUCCUGUCCCCCACGAGGCAAGGCGCGAACCCGCAGAGAUCUGGGGUGCCCUUUGGUUCCCUGCGCUGCCCUGGAGGCGUCCAUAGAGGCCUUUGCCGCCAAGGACAGCAAUUGUUUUAUUUUCGAUGGUUGCUCGCCAGGCCUGCGGGUCGCGGGCCCACCCAGCCGUCGAACUUUCCAGUCGUUAUCAGCGCUGCUCCUAACUUAAUGGAAUAAUGCAAAUUAUAGCCUGCCCAGCUGACACGUCCCUGCGAAUGCGCCGGGGCUGAGCUCUGGCCAGCCGCUCUCUCGACGUCCUGGACGGCCGGAGGGAAUGAAGCUCUGAAUUGUGACAAAAGUGGGGGGGGGGCACCCCAAAUUCUCAAAGCAAUGUUCUUUUUUUUUUCUUUUUUCUUAAGCAAUUGAGCCUUACCAAAUGUCGGGGCCGCACGGAAGCCUUGCAUAUUUUAAAGUGUAACCUGAGCCUUCGCGGUUUCAGCUUCACUUAAAACAUGCAAAUUCUUGAAAUUGAAAAAUCUGAAAAACUUCCGAAGAGUUCUAUCUGAAUAAAUCCAAAUCCAUUGGGAGUCGCUUUGAGGAGACAAAACGCACAGCGAUUUGGGGUGAGGGAUAUUUGUGGGGAGGCAGGACGUGCUGGAUUGGGUUUCCAGGGUCAAGGUGUCUCUGGGCCUUCGACGAUAGCCUUAGCGCAGAGCAGGGAAGUGGCACCGCUAGGCAGCAAGCUCAGUUGCUCUACUUUUGUGACCCAUCCCCCCACC